rnacentral:lncRNA from 1 species
CUCCUACCAUGAUUUUAUGGACAUCUUUUCUCAUGUGCUCUUUCUAUCAGCCUUCAGAGGAAGAAACGAAAGCCCAGAGAAGUUGAGGAUCUGGCCCGUAGUCCUGCAGUUUUAGCCUGAGCUUUAACCCAAACCCUGUAACACCAAAUCCAGAGAAAUUGAAAAAAAGAACAAAAAACAAAAGUACCUAGUAUUCUUAAAACUAGGUAUGCCCUAAUCUGUUUGAACUGUAUAGUAUAGUUAGGACACACUGGUCGCAUUUAUCCAGGCAAGCUGCUUUGGUUUAUCCAGUAAAUGCUAGAUCUUAACAUAGGAAAGCACCUAUGAGUUGAUCAGAGCUAGCUCUCUCUGAGCUAUUGGAGGUUUUCUUUUCCUUCCGAAGAGUAAUAAAUUAUAGUGGAAUAUGUAUGAAUGGUAUAGAGAAAGCAUGUAGUACAAAUGCUUCCAUUCCCUUCUAUGUAAUUUAUCAUGGUUUUCUUUUCCAUCGAGCCCUGAGGUUGCUUCAAUAUUCUUCUCAACACAGGACUCCAAGCACCACUACCAAUUGAUCAGAGUUAACAAUUCAAGAUGAAAGCAAUUAUCUUCUCUGGUUUAAAGCUCCCGUUUUCCAAGGUGAAUAUAAGAACAAAGAAUAUCCAAGCAACAACUAGACUAUUCAGACUUGAGAUUCAUACUCAUAUCAUUUUCUCCAUAUUGGCAGUAUCUCAGGGAGCUGACCCCAGAAGAUACAGAAACUAAGGCGUUCGACCUCUUUUAUUGCAACUGCUCCCAUCCUUCCUGCCCGCCCUACCCGCCGGAAACUUAAAAACCCACGCCUGUUGGAAACGCUGUUGGCUGAAGGCAUGUUGCUGAUGCAGGAGAGCAACAGCAGGUUAGCACGAGGCGUUCUCAUUGCAGCAAGGCGCCGCGGCCUGCACCCGGGGCGUUGCUGCUGUGGAGCGAAGCGGCUCUCACUCCCAAUCCCCAGAUACGGAGCGGUGUCAAUACAGAAAUAUUAAGGAGAAAAUUAAUAAUUUAUUUCAAAAAUUCAUUUGCAGCUGCACUUCACUGAAUUAAUUACUUUUCGUCUUUCUCUUCUUAUUCAUUCCUCUCUCUCUUGCUAAUGAUCGAGUUAGAACAAGCAAGAGGAAGCAAGUGGGGUUGGAAGGAGUGGGGGUCUGGUGCUGGCGGAACAGAAAGCACAAAGGAGAACGUGCUGUAACGUGGGUGCCCUAAGGGGCCUGACAGGGGGAAAGGGAUAAGUUAAGCUCAAUCCCAUCUUCUUCGCCCCCAAAGCAAUGGUAAACCACGUUACCAUGUUACACGUUCUACUUAGUAUUUUAGAAGAAGGGAAAAUUAAAUUCCAGCAAGCAAAAGUCCCAAGUUAUUAAAAAGAUUAAUCUGUUGUUUAGCAUUAGAUCUUCUGCGCAAUUCUCUUCCCUGUGUGCUCGUUAAAAUAGUAUAGUCACCCAGACAAAGUGAUCGCAUACUAUUGCUUAAGUGUUAACUGGGCUUGUAUACCGAUUUCCAGAAGCAUUGGGGUAGGCCCGGGCCAUUUUUGCAUAACACUUGCUUAUCACAACUUGCCAGGUGACACUAAGGUAACAUCGUGGCAAGGUUCAAAUCCAUAGCCGUUUUAGUCAUUUUCUAAGCUGGAAUAGAAAAAUCAGUCUGAGAAAUUUUUUUUUUUUUUUUACCAAACCCCAGACAGAGGCAAAGCAGAUUCUUUCUUCCGUGUUCAAAACAUUCAUGGG